rnacentral:piRNA from 1 species
UACCCCUUUGAUGCUUCUGAGCCUG